rnacentral:rRNA from 1 species
CAGCAGUAGCCACGGUAAUACGGAGGGUGCAAGCGUUAAUCGGAAUUACUGGGCGUAAAGCGCGCGUAGGUGGUCUGUUAAGUUGGAUGUGAAAUCCCCGGGCUCAACCUGGGAACUGCAUUCAAAACUGACUGACUAGAGUAUGGUAGAGGGUGGUGGAAUUUCCUGUGUAGCGGUGAAAUGCGUAGAUAUAGGAAGGAACACCAGUGGCGAAGGCGACCACCUGGACUAAUACUGACACUGAGGUGCGAAAGCGUGGGGAGCAAACAGGAUUAGAUACCCCAGUAGUCCCUGUCUCUUAUAA